AUUUUUUUUUUCUUUGUUGGUGUUGUGUACUCAGGUGAAUAAUAUGUUUGCGAUGUUACUCUGAGUGCAUAUCCACACCGGGCGAGCUUGAAAAAUAUGCCCGGCCACGGUGGGAUUCGAACCUACGACCUUUGGAAUACUAGCCCAAUGCUCUUCCAACUGAGCUACGCGGUCAGGACGGUUCGAGUAAGUGAUAUUUCGGAACAGUAUCUAGUUCCUUCAAUACCAAUGUGUUCUAGUAAUAUGAAUUUUUUUUUCUUUGUUGGUGUUGUGUACUCAGGUGAAUAAUAUGUUUGCGAUGUUACUCUGAGUGCAUAUCCACACCGGGCGAGCUUGAAAAGUAUGCCCGGCCACGGUGGGAUUCGAACCUACGACCUUUGGA